CAGCAGUGGGGAAUUUUCCGCAAUGGGCGAAAGCCUGACGGAGCAAUACCGCGUGAGGGAGGAAGGCUCUUGGGUCGUAAACCUCUUUUCUCAGGGAAGAAGAACUGACGGUACCUGAGGAAUCAGCAUCGGCUAACUCCGUGCCAGCAGCCGCGGUAAUACGGAGGAUGCAAGCGUUAUCCGGAAUGAUUGGGCGUAAAGCGUCCGUAGGUGGCGAUUCAAGUCUGCUGUUAAAGCGCAGGGCUUAACCCUGUAAAGGCGGUGGAAACUGGAGAGCUAGAGUGUGGUAGGGGUAGAGGGAAUUCCCGGUGUAGCGGUGAAAUGCGUAGAGAUCGGGAAGAACACCAGUGGCGAAGGCGCUCUACUGGGCCAUAACUGACACUGAUGGACGAAAGCUAGGGGAGCGAAUGGGAUUAGA
rnacentral:rRNA from 1 species